rnacentral:rRNA from 1 species
GACGAACGCUGGCGGCGUGCUUAACACAUGCAAGUCGAACGGAAAGGCCCUGCUUUUGUGGGGUGCUCGAGUGGCGAACGGGUGAGUAACACGUGAGUAACCUGCCCUUGACUUUGGGAUAACUUCAGGAAACUGGGGCUAAUACCGGAUAGGAGCUCCUGCUGCAUGGUGGGGGUUGGAAAGUUUCGGCGGUUGGGGAUGGACUCGCGGCUUAUCAGCUCGUUGGUGGGGUAGUGGCUUACCAAGGCUUUGACGGGUAGCCGGCCUGAGAGGGUGACCGGCCACAUUGGGACUGAGAUACGGCCCAGACUCCUACGGGAGGCAGCAGUGGGGAAUAUUGCACAAUGGGCGGAAGCCUGAUGCAGCAACGCCGCGUGCGGGAUGACGGCCUUCGGGUUGUAAACCGCUUUCGCCUGUGACGAAGCGUGAGUGACGGUAAUGGGUAAAGAAGCACCGGCUAACUACGUGCCAGCAGCCGCGGUGAUACGUAGGGUGCGAGCGUUGUCCGGAUUUAUUGGGCGUAAAGGGCUCGUAGGUGGUUGAUCGCGUCGGAAGUGUAAUCUUGGGGCUUAACCCUGAGCGUGCUUUCGAUACGGGUUGACUUGAGGAAGGUAGGGGAGAAUGGAAUUCCUGGUGGAGCGGUGGAAUGCGCAGAUAUCAGGAGGAACACCAGUGGCGAAGGCGGUUCUCUGGGCCUUUGCUGACGCUGAGGAGCGAAAGCGUGGGGAGCGAACAGGCUUAGAUACCCUGGUAGUCCACGCUGUAAACGGUGGGUACUAGGUGUGGGGUCCAUUCCACGGGUUCCGUGCCGUAGCUAACGCUUUAAGUACCCCGCCUGGGGAGUACGGCCGCAAGGCUAAAACUCAAAGGAAUUGACGGGGCCCCGCACAAGCGGCGGAGCAUGCGGAUUAAUUCGAUGCAACGCGUAGAACCUUACCUGGGUUUGACAUGGAUCGGGAGUGCUCAGAGAUGGGUGUGCCUCUUUUGGGGUCGGUUCACAGGUGGUGCAUGCCUGUCGUCAGCUCGUGUCGUGAGAUGUUGGGUUAAGUCCCGCAACGAGCGCAACCCUUGUUCACUGUUGCCAGCACGUUAUGGUGGGGACUCAGUGGAGACCGCCGGGGUCAACUCGGAGGAAGGUGGGGAUGACGUCAAGUCCUCAUGCCCCUUAUGUCCAGGGCUUCACGCAUGCUACAAUGGCUGGUACAGAGAGUGGCGAGCCUGUGAGGGUGAGCGAAUCUCGGAAAGCCGGUCUCAGUUCGGAUUGGGGUCUGCAACUCGACCUCAUGAAGUCGGAGUCGCUAGUAAUCGCAGAUCAGCAACGCUGCGGUGAAUACGUUCCCGGGGCU